rnacentral:rRNA from 1 species
CAAGUGUGAACACCUGCUGAAUUUAAGCAUAUAAGUAGGCAGAGGAUGAGAUACACAACUGGAUUGGCACAGUAGUUGCGAAUGAACAGCAAAUUGCUCAAAUUGAAUUUGGGGACACCUGGCCCUCAACAUGAAAUCUCUGAAUGCUCCACCAACAAAGGCUCAGGAACAAAACCAUUCUGGAGGGGAUUGUGAAAGUGCCAACAGGGGUGAGAAUCCUGUGGUUCUUGCAGACCUUGUUCACGGUGUCUGCUUUCCAGAGUCAUGCUCCUUGGAACUGGAGUGCAAAGUGGGUGGUA